rnacentral:rRNA from 1 species
CUUCGGGAAACCGGAGCUAAUACCGGAUAAUUCUUUCCAUCACAUGGGGAAAAGCUGAAAGACGGCAUCUCGCUGUCACUUACAGAUGGGCCCGCGGCGCAUUAGCUAGUUGGUGAGGUAACGGCUCACCAAGGCAACGAUGCGUAGCCGACCUGAGAGGGUGAUCGGCCACACUGGGACUGAGACACGGCCCAGACUCCUACGGGAGGCAGCAGUAGGGAAUCUUCCGCAAUGGACGAAAGUCUGACGGAGCAACGCCGCGUGAGUGAUGAAGGUUUUCGGAUCGUAAAGCUCUGUUGUUAGGGAAGAACAAGUACAAGAGUAACUGCUUGUACCUUGACGGUACCUAACCAGAAAGCCACGGCUAACUACGUGCCAGCAGCCGCGGUAAUACGUAGGUGGCAAGCGUUGUCCGGAAUUAUUGGGCGUAAAGCGCGCGCAGGCGGUCCUUUAAGUCUGAUGUGAAAGCCCACGGCUCAACCGUGGAGGGUCAUUGGAAACUGGGGGACUUGAGUGCAGAAGAGAAGAGUGGAAUUCCACGUGUAGCGGUGAAAUGCGUA